GACGAACGCUGGCGGCGUGCCUAAUACAUGCAAGUAGAACGCUGAAGGAAGGAGCUUGCUCUUUCUGGAUGAGUUGCGAACGGGUGAGUAACGCGUAGGUAACCUGCCUGGUAGCGGGGGAUAACUAUUGGAAACGAUAGCUAAUACCGCAUAAAAUUGAUUAUUGCAUGAUAGUCAAUUAAAAGGUGCAACUGCACCACUACCAGCUGGACCUGCGUUGUAUUAGCUAGUUGGUGGGGUAACGGCUCACCAAGGCGACGAUACAUAGCCGACCUGAGAGGGGGAUCGGCCACACUGGGACUGAGACACGGCCCAGACUCCUACGGGAGGCAGCAGUAGGGAAUCUUCGGCAAUGGACGGAAGUCUGACCGAGCAACGCCGCGUGAGUGAAGAAGGGUUUCGGAUCGUAAAGCUCUGUUGUAAGAGAAGAACGAGUGUGAGAGUGGAAAGUUCACACUGUGACGGUAGCUUACCAGAAAGAGACGGCUAACUACGUG
rnacentral:rRNA from 1 species